GUACACGCUGUGACUAGCAUAUCAAUAAGCGGAGGAAAAGAAACUAACAAGGAUUCCCCUAGUAACGGCGAGUGAAGCGGGAAGAGCUCAAAUUUGAAAUCUUAAAGGGUUUCCCUUUACGAAUUGUAGUUUAAAGAAGUGUUUUCUGUUGAGGUUUUGGUAAAAGUUCUUUGGAAUAGGACAUCAUAGAGGGUGAGAAUCCCGUAUUUGGACCUUUACUUUCAACUUUGUGAUACACUUUCAAAGAGUCGGAUUGUUUGGGAAUGCAGUCCAAAAUGGGUGGUAAAUUUCAUCUAAAGCUAAAUAUUGGCGAGAGACCGAUAGCGAACAAGUACCGUGAGGGAAAGAUGAAAAGAACUUUGAAAAGAGAGUUAAACAGUACGUGAAAUUGUCAAAAGGGAAGCGUUUGACACCAGUGUUGUUUCUCUGAAAAGUCAAUUAAAGAACUGUUUAUGCUAAGCUGUUUAGACUUUAUCAGCAUAUCUGUUUAGUUUUGAGCUUUUCUUUAAUGCACUUUUCAGUUAACAAGUCAACAUCAAUUUCUUUUGCUGUAAAAAAGCUUGAGGAAGGUGGCUUGAGAUUCGUCUUAAGUGUUUAUAGCCUCUUGCCUAUGCAGUCGGAGAGAUUGAGGUCUGCAGCGUAGAUCCUUCGGGGCUAAAUGCAUUUGUGCUAAGUUAUAACAUUUUAUAGACAACUUGUUGACUAUGAUUUGUCUUGUAGCUUACUCGCUUAUGUUAUUUUACCUACGCUUAGGAUGUUGACUGAUAUGUAGUCGUA
rnacentral:rRNA from 1 species